rnacentral:rRNA from 1 species
UGAUCUUGACAUCGUGGGAAUCCUGCCGAAGGGUGGGAGUGCCUUAGGGAGCCCAUAGACAGGUGCUGCAUGGCUGUCGUCAGCUCGUGUCGUGAGAUGUUGGGUUAAGUCCCGCAACGAGCGCAACCCUUGUCCUUUGUUGCCAGCUGGUAAUGCAGGGAACUCAAAGGAGACUGCCAGUGACAAACUGGAGGAAGGCAGGGAUGACGUCAAGUCAUCAUGGCCCUUACGAUCAGGGCUACACACGUGCUACAAUGGGGCGUACAGAGGGAGACAAAGCCGCGAGGUGGAGUGGAACCCAGAAAGCGUCCCGAAGUUCGGAUUGGAGUCUGCAACUCGGCUCCAUGAAGUCGGAAUCGCUAGUAAUCGCGAAUCAGAAUGUCGCGGUGAAUACGUUCCCGGGCC